UACGUAGGGUGCAAGCGUUAAUCGGAAUUACUGGGCGUAAAGCGUGCGCAGGCGGUUUUGUAAGCCAGAUGUGAAAUCCCCGGGCUCAACCUGGGAAUGGCAUUUGGGACUGCAAGGCUGGAGUACGGCAGAGGAGACUGGAAUUCCUGGUGUAGCGGUGAAAUGCGCAGAUAUCAGGAAGAACACCAAUGGCGAAGGCAGCUCUCUGGGACGGUACUGACGCUGAGACGCGAAAGCGUGGGGAGCGAACAGG
rnacentral:rRNA from 1 species